UUUCUGCCGGUGAUGGUGUUAAAUAUACUUUGAGUGAUAAACUAUGAAAAGAAUAUUCAGCUGAGGCUU
rnacentral:snoRNA from 1 species